rnacentral:rRNA from 1 species
UACAGGAGGGGGCAAGCGUUGUUCGGAAUUACUGGGCGUAAAGGGCGCGUAGGCGGCCGCCUAAGUCAGACGUGAAAUCCCUCGGCUCAACCGGGGAACUGCGUCUGAUACUGGGUGGCUUGAAUCCGGGAGAGGGAUGCGGAAUUCCAGGUGUAGCGGUGAAAUGCGCAGAUAUCAGGAGGAACACCGAUGGCGAAGGCAGGUCUCUGGGCAUUAACUGACGCUGAGGAGCGAAAGCAUGGGGAGCGAACAGG